GCGGGAAUAGCUCAGUUGGUAGAGCGCAACCUUGCCAAGGUUGAGGUCU
rnacentral:tRNA from 1 species